UACGAAGGGUGCAAACGUUGCUCGGAAUCAUUGGGCGUAAAGCGCACGUAGGCGGCUUCAAAAGUCGGAUGUGAAAUCCCACGGCUCAACCGUGGACGUGCAUCCGAAACUGGGAGGCUUGAGUACUGAAGAGGAUCGCGGAAUUCCCGGUGUAGAGGUGAAAUUCGUAGAUAUCGGGAGGAACACCAGUGGCGAAGGCGACUUCCUGGCCUGCUCUUGACGCUGAGGCGCGAAAGCUAGGGGAGCAAACGGG
rnacentral:rRNA from 1 species